UGGGGAAUAUUGGACAAUGGGUGAGAGCCUGAUCCAGCCAUGCCGCGUGCAGGAAGAAGGCGUUAUGCGUUGUAAACUGCUUUUGCCAGGGGAUAAAAAGACCGUGCGCGGUUAAUUGAAGGUACCUGGUGAAUAAGCCACGGCUAACUACGUGCCAGCAGCCGCGGUAAUACGUAGGUGGCAAGCGUUGUCCGGAUUUAUUGGGUUUAAAGGGUGCGUAGGUGGCCCUGUAAGUCAGUGGUGAAAUAUCUCAGCUUAACUGAGAGGGUGCCAUUGAUACUGCAGGGCUUGAGUACAGAUGAGGUAGGCGGAAUUGACGGUGUAGCGGUGAAAUGCAUAGAUAUCGUCAAGAACACCGAUAGCGAAGGCAGCUUACCAAGCUGUAACUGACACUGAGGCACGAAAGUGUGGGGAUCGAAACAGGAUUAGAUACCCCAGUAGUCCCUGAGCGGGCUGGCAAGGCGCAU
rnacentral:rRNA from 1 species